CAGCUCUGACAUUCUGUGUUCUAAGGUUCCCCUCAAAUCUAACCUCCUUUGACCUAAGGACCCUUUCAGAUCUGAUAUUCUAUGGCCAAAGUUGCAUUCCAUCCCCAGAGCUGAUUACUGGCUGCCCAUAUCACUGUGUAUUAUCAGACCUAGAAAAGCAAACCAAACUGACGCAAGGUUGAAACCAGAUCAACCACCCCCAGCAAAGCAAGAGAAAUUCUAAUAAAAAGAGUGAUUCUAUCUAGGGUUGGAGGGAUUUGAGGAGGGAAUAAUAGGAUGCCUGACACUGAAUCUUGCUGGCCAGAGCAGCUCCCCAAAGGUGAUUUAAGCCAAUAUUGCACAACGCCUUGGCUGAGUAUCUGUAGAUAUUCAGGGCCUUUUCUCUGGAUGCUGGCUACAGUCAUCCAGGGUCUUGGAGACACUAUUUGCCUUUCCCUGAAAUGUCAGCUUAGUAAGCAAAAUGAUGACACCCCAAGGGCUUCUGGAUGCACGUAGAUGCCUCAGUGAAGCUGGGGUGGGGAAAGGCAAUGGGCAAGUUAAAACCAGCCAGCUUUGGGAGAGAGCUGCAGAGGCUCAGCUCCUCUUUGGGGGUUGGACCCACCCAAACCAGCUCGACCCCAGUCUGGGAUUUGGUUUAGGGAAGAAGGAGGCUGGUCCCAGAAGGAAAGUGAGAGAGAAGCUUAGGAUCGACUCCCAUGAGACCCAGAAAGAAGAUUGAUUUACAACGUUGAAACAUUUCCCUGUGAAAAUCCUGGGAGCAAAUGAUCCUCAAAGAAUGGAGGCCAAAUAAACUUCAAGAAUCUGAGAUGACCAUUA